rnacentral:tRNA from 1 species
UACCCCGUGGUGUAAUUGGCAACACAAGAGAUUUUGGUUCUCUUAUUUCUGGUUCGAGUCCAGACGGGGUAACCA